rnacentral:misc_RNA from 1 species
AAGUCGUAACAAGGUUUUCCUUCCAGUUAAAGAUUUUUAACUCUAAAGAUUUUCUCUACUGAAGCCUCACACAGCGACUCUAAAUUAAUUGUGCAGUCUUGCCUCCUUGGUGAAGACAAUACCGCUGAAAUGCUGUGAUCACGUCCGUGUACCAGCAGCCUAGGAAUAGGCCCACAGAUCAAGUGGCGGUGGUCUAUGGUUAUAUUUACCAUGGACUCUAAUAUGACCGAUUCUAACCUCAAACGGUUAAGAAACCAAUGUUCCGUAGGUGAACCUGCGGAAGGAUCAUUAAUGAGUUAG